CUCGCCUUCCCUUUUCCUCCUGGAUCCCUUCGUGGGCACGUAUCUCCCCGGCGGCGAAACAGCCGACAACAAGAAGACUUUGCUGUCCUCUGGAGCCAAGAGGGCGUUCGGGUUCCCUGCGGACCUCGAUUGCGAUGCGCUCAUGCGGGGCCUGGCGCUAGAAGCAGACCUUGCUGGUGCGCCAGAUCUGUCCCGCCUGACCCUCCGAGGCGUCCGCCCGUUCUCCACUUGUAUCCAUGCCGUCGACAAGAACCUGAUUAUCAUGACAACUUCCUUUCCUAAAGUUUACCCCCGGGGUAUCUAUCUCAUCUACAACGCAAUUGACAGAUCGCUCCUCAUGAUCCCGUCUGCGCCCAGCACACCCCCUUCCGUCCUUACGUCCCGUGUUCUUGUUGCGCGCCGCCGGGACGACGACAUCAGCUCCUACGCCCUGGUCUUUCCCGGGACCGUCUACGUCAUAGGCUGUCCUGGACGGCAGCCUGUUCUCUUCGUGUCGGGGUCCUCAUCCAAGUCUCAGUGGGAGAUUGCGAAGUUCACUAAUUUCCCCGACCAUCUGCUCGCUGAGAAAAGCGACUUCCUUGCUGAAGAUGUGUUUUCCCACCGUGGCCGUGGUUACUGGGUGGAUCUCUUGCUUGGUGGCAUGUACUGUGACUGCGUUGAUCUUCUCUCCGGCCAGCGUUCCGUGGACGUCCGCUCCCCUAGGCCUGCCUGUGGGGUGCGAGAGUUACCUCGGCUGCAGAGACUACAUACCAGAGGUGAGGGCCUUUCGAGCCGUGGGCUGUGUCGGGGACUCCAUCAAGUUUGUCUCCAUCACCGGCUUCCUUGAGCGUGUGGAUCUUGCGGAUGACCGCAUGGUGAGGGUCUGGAAACUCAAGGAAGAUAUGAGUUGGGAUUUAGACUACGAGCUCAAGUUUGGGAGCCUGCGCGAAGAUGGGGCUUUCAAAGGGAACCACCUGCCGACCUCCAUGGCACCCAUGUACCCCUUCCUCAGCAUGCAGGAAGACCGUGUCAUCUACUUUGCACUGGGUGAGUACAUGUACCAGGACCCGGAGUUCUGCUUUCCAUCCACGCCGAGCUUCUGGGUCCGUGUUGAUAUGAGUAUCAAGACUUUUAACUGCACGCCUAUCUCUCUCACGGACGCCAGCAUUGGUUGUCUUCUUGCUAUGUCCGGCAAUGCUGAGGGCGAUCUUGCUUGGACUUCCCAGCCAAGCCAACUUCUGAAGCCAUGUCCUGUUAGUUAGGGAGGGGCAAUAUGGAAGCACCAGAUCAAGUAUCAGGAAUCAUGAAGUUUGGUUAUCUUUUUAUUUUGCCUAUUUAUAUUAACAAGAUGUUUAUCUGGCUCAAGUCAAUCCCUUGUUUAUUUGCUUUUGUUGGAGUGAGAAACUGUUGUGUUUGGCUGCAACUUGUCCCAUGAGAUUCCUGUUUGAUGACAUUCUUGUGAGAUCCUUAUUCUCGUGCUUGUAUUAUCAUGGAUACAGUUUCUAUCCUUAUACCAUUUUGUUUGCAAAGUACUGCAG
rnacentral:rRNA from 1 species